GGCUUUGUGAAUAAAGACCUCCCCCCUUCUCCCCUCCCUUCCUCCCCUCACACUCACCCUUCCCUCCCUGUGUCUGCUGUCCCCUCACACCUCGUCUCCCCUUUUACACUUUCUUCAUUAGGCAGCAGUAGUCCAAGAUCUGUUACCCCUGGGCGUUCCCUCUUGUUGGCCACAUGAGCCCCUGCACCAUGGCUCCCCUCUUACUCCAGCACUCUGUCUUCUCUGCUCCCCAGUGUCUCCUCUGCUUUUCCCCAGUAUAUUAUCCCACUAUUACUCUUCUCCUCUAUUAUCUCCACCAUCCAGCUCCCACCCUCCUCCCCUAUCCCUUCCCCUCCUGAUGCUGCUGGACAGCUCCUAGACUAGAAGCAGCAGGCGGGAUGAACCAACUGCUGACACGAGGGGGUGAGGCAUCACUGGGAAGAAAACCCAGGCGGGCUGUACCAUUCCAUGGCUUGGGGCCAGGCAGAGCAGUUUCUCAUGGCACCUCUUUCAUGUGCUCUUCAUACAAAGGGUCCCAUCAUUCUGGAAUGCAGCCCCAAAAAAAGACAGAUAUUAAGACAUCAGCAACCACCACAGCAGAUUAUCAAGGAGCAGCCUGGGUGAGAAUAGCUGGUAUGCUGAAAUCUGGAACUGUGCCAUCAUAAAUGAUCUGAUAAGUACUGGUUGUUGAAAAACUGGGCUAUAACAGGUAGAAUGCGUAAUCUUCAGG